UUCUCUGCACAGUCUGAAUUGUGCAGACGGAAGUGCCUCUUGCAAGAUAUUAAAAUCAUUUAAAACUGUACUGGGUUAUGACUAUAAUUAUUCAUGUGUUCAACAAGGUAAUAAAUCCACAACAAUUUUGGCAAUGAGGAUGGGAUCGCAAUGCUGAUGGACUCCGGACAAAAUAAUUGACUGAUCAUCCCGGAUUAGCAAACUAGCUCUACCCCGAAGAUUCAGGGAGUGAGGAUUGUUUCUAAUGGAGCCUAAGCUGACGCAACCCCGACAAAUCUGACGUGUGAAUUCGAUGAAUAAGUUGAACGGUUCCACAAAGGCAUCCAAAAAGGCCAUUGAUCAUCUGUAUACCACAAAGGAUGAUCUGCAGACUGUUGACCACCAACAGUAUUGAGAACAGAACCACAUUAAACUUCACCACGUUCUUUGGCUCAGUGCAAAAUAGUUCCCAAAAAUCGGGGUAUUCAAGGGAGUUGACCAGUCGUCCAGUAUAUCUUUACAGAGGGGCCCAUGCAAUAGGCCAAACACUGCCACUAUGAAACUAUAGAGGGCACCAGCUACACCCACCGCUGCAAGUAUAAUGGACAGAAACAUCUAAAACAGAAAAGGGCAUCAGAUUAUUUACUGUUUUGAAACAUUUGUAAUUUAUUUUUACCAGUUGAACUGUUCUUUAACCACUAAGCAAGCAUUUCAAAAUAAUUUUUGGCUUUUUGUUCAUGUCCUGAUGAACAUUAAAAGGAUCAAACAAGAAGCAAAACCACAAAAGUAUAUGUGUAUUUUUAUGCUGCUGCUGUUUCUUGUUGUUUUCAUUUGUCAGGUGUUGCUUGUUUUCAUGCUUGUUUUAGUUCCUGGAUCAUUAUGGUAUUGGGAUUCUUCAAGUUUGAUUAACCCUCAAACCGUCCUUGGGGUCUAUACGACCCCAAACUGCAUUUCAUUGGUUAAAAAAAGGUUCCCUUCAUCUCAGAGAUAUAAAACUUUGUGACUUUUUCUAAAUAAUCUAUCUUUACAUACACAAAAAACUGGUGUUGAUUUGGUUGUUCUAAAGGUAUGUAAAAAAUAUUUUUUUUGUAUUUAUCUGUCCCUUGGGGUCAAUAAGACCCCAAUAGAAAGUGAAUGGGAAAUGCAAAAAUGUCAAAAAAAUAAAAAAUAAAUCCAGCAUAAAUCUGAGAAUUUUGACACAGAAAUGAAGGUCUGGUACUUGUGCACAAAUGCAAUGCAAAAAACACAUGCUCACACAAACACAUACACACACACACACACAAAUACUCACAGGUAAAAAACACAUGCUCAAACAAACACAUACAAACACACAAACACACACACACACAGGUAUGAUUGCCACAGAGAACAUUUGUAUGGAAUUUGGGGAAAAAAAAUCACAAAUGCAGAAAAUAAGAUAUUAAGGGGUGUGACCUAAUGCAUGCACAUGUACACUCACAAACACGCACACACACACACGCGCACACCCAAACACAUACAAACACACACACACACACACACACACACACACACACACAUAUGCUCUCUCUCUCUCUCUCUCUCUCUCUCUCUCUCUCUCUCUCUCUCUGGGCAUCUCCUGGUCAAAAUAAUUUAAUUCCUAAACAGUAGGGAUGCACGAUCUUGAUUUUUCAUGGCCGACUUUUAUACCGAUUUUCUUAACGAGCAAAUUGGCCGAUUCUGAUUUGAUUUCCAAUUAUUUUUCUUAUAAAGCAAAAAACAAGAAAGAAUGAAAGUAUACAUAAACAAUAUGUUUAUUUGGUAUUUAACAGGCUAAACUUUGUUUGGCUAUUGAAAACAAUAACUGUAACCAUCUAAAAUUAACAGCAGUAACUGUGCAGUAGGCCACGUUCAAUACCAAAAAAGUGGUUAAAGGAGCAUUUCACCCAUAGAAACAUUAAUCUUUAUUGAAAGUGUGUCUUAUUUGUAGUCGAAAUGUAACAUACAUUUAGAAUUUGGUGCCUGUUUGACUGCGAAAAGGGGUGUUUGUAGUCUCACGCCCUCAGCAAAGAUAUUGGGCAUCCAAGGAACUCCAACACUGAAAUCUGUAUUUCUCCAGUCUCAGCGGCAACUGAGGAAAUGAUGCAUGACCAUUCAAAAACAUGAUGGGUUCUAACUAUACAAAGCUUAAUGCAAAUGGGUGAAGUGUCCCUUUAAAUGAGACCAUGACAUGGAUGGUUGAGUGAGGGUUGAUGGUCUUGCCUGUUUUGCAUUAUCAACAGACUUUUGAUACUUAUUGUGUUCUAUCAGGUGAUGAACCUAAAUGUCUGAUCAAGUUUGUUGUGCCGAAUGCAGGGCUCUCAGGUUUUAUUUAAAAGUUUGGAGUGAGAUAACAUCUGUUAGGGGAGAGGCCCCUCUGCCCCACCAAAUUCACAAGUUUUUGCUAGCAGUUCAAUGUUACCUAUUAUUAACUGACCAGCAAAAAUAUAAAUUAUAACAAUUGGUAAGUCUGAUAAAAGACAGACAAAUUUAUCCAAAUUAAAUAAAUAGCUCCACAUAUAAAAAAAAUACAAAUGUAGAGUUUUUUAAUAAAUCAAGCAUAAUUUAACACGUAUUUGGCUAUAAGAAACCUGCGUUAUUUACAGCAUUUAUCGGAUCUUGCUCUUCUAUCUUUCACUCUGUGCCUGCACGCGCCGCGCAUCCAUCCAAGUGAUUGACAUCAGAGGAGCGCAAGAAAAACUCGAGACAGCUAACUCGACAGAUAACUUCCCUGCGCCUCUUCCAUUAAUUGUAAAUAGCAGGAAAAGUUAUCAGUCUCUUAGAAAUACAAGGUGUGAGUGUGUAAACUAACUGAAAUGCGUGUAUCUCACAGUGAAUGCGUGAGACUUGAGAGCCCUGUGAAUGUACUGUUGUUUCUCAGCGAUUAACUUGUCCUUUACAGACACUGCAGUUUGCAAUCUUAACGUCCUGCGCACAGAUUUCGAAAUGCUUUUACACAAAAGACAUGUUUGCGAAUGAUAAAAAAUGUUCCACUUCCGAAAAAAUCUGCCGAAAAAUAAAAAAAAAAUGGUUCCUAUUUAUGGCCGGUCAACCGGUGCAUCCCUACUAAAAUUCUUUUUAUGUUUUUUUCUAAAAACCAAUGGGUGAAUUCAACACCUUCCACCUAUAUCAAUAUCUAAAAACAAUUUAAAUCAAAUUUAGAUAAUAAUUUAUGUGAAUUUUCAGGCAAGCCAAUGGUGUAGUUGAGGAAUUUAGUGGUAAACAGGUACAAAAGUACUUCAAAUCUGUCAAAACACAGCUUUAUUAGAUGAGAAGUAAAAAAAGAUAUAUUAUUUGUAUUAUUGAAAAUUUAUAUUUUUCUUACAGUUAUGCUUUCCAUUUUGGGGUCAUAUAGACCCCAAAACUCAUACAGAAUUGUAAACAGAAAAUGAGGAUUGUUUGAGGGUUAAAGUAAACAUUGCAUAUGGGUUGAAAUUUAAACUGGAUCAUGUAACGCAACUUCCUUUUUAUUUUAUCUCGAGUUAGUUUCAGCGCAGGCGCUUUCUCAUAACUGAAUUUCUAAAGGAUGGUAGGCAUUAUUAAAUUGCAAAAAAAAAAAAAAAAUAAA